rnacentral:antisense_RNA from 1 species
AAUAACCAAAUAUCACCGCUGGGUUGAGUGUAGGGUUGGUAAUGACACGAACAUCACCACCACCGGGAGCCCAAGUGUCGUAUACACCACCGAAGAACAUAGCCUUCAGCACUAACAGCAGCGCACCACAUCCCAAGAUGAUCAGGUGGAAGCCGAUGAUGUUGGUCAUCUUGUUCUUGUCUUUCCA